GAUGAACGCUAGCUACAGGCUUAACACAUGCAAGUCGAGGGGCAGCAUGGUCUUAGCUUGCUAAGGCCGAUGGCGACCGGCGCACGGGUGAGUAACACGUAUCCAACCUGCCGUCUACUCUUGGACAGCCUUCUGAAAGGAAGAUUAAUACAAGAUGGCAUCAUGAGUCCGCAUGUUCACAUGAUUAAAGGUAUUCCGGUAGACGAUGGGGAUGCGUUCCAUUAGAUAGUAGGCGGGGUAACGGCCCACCUAGUCUUCGAUGGAUAGGGGUUCUGAGAGGAAGGUCCCACACAUUGGAACUGAGACACGGUCCAAACUCGUACGGGAGGAAGCAGUGAGGAAUAUUGGUCAAUGGGCGAGAGCCUGAACCAGCCAAGUAGCGUGAAGGAGGACUGCCCUAUGGGUUGUAAACUUCUUUUAUAAAGGAAUAAAGUCGGGUAUGGAUACCCGUUUGCAUGUACUUUAUGAAUAAGGAUCGGCUAACUCCGUG
rnacentral:rRNA from 1 species